rnacentral:rRNA from 1 species
AGAGACGAAACAAGUGAUGUGGAGAAAACUUAUAAAAGCGACCUCAGUUCGGAUUGAAGGCUGAAAUUCGCCUUCAUGAAGUCGGAAUUGCUAGUAAUGGCAGGUCAGCAUACUGCCGUGAAUACGUUCCCGGGCCUUGUACACACCGCCCGUCACACCAUGAGAGUUGGAGAUACCCGAAGCCUAUGAGCUAACUUUUAGAGGCAGUAGUCGAAGGUAGAAUCAAUGAUUGGGGUGAAGUCGUAACAAGGUACC